CGAGUUUUCCAGGAUGCAUGGCCACCUUCCAGAAGCAUUCUCUCCUGACAUUUCGCCCACAUCUAUUUCAGGCAUCCCCAGAGGUUGUGAGGUUUGUUGGAAACUAGGCAAGGGAGGUUUAUAUCUCUGUGGAAGGUCCAGGGUGGAAGAAAGAACUCUUGUCUGUUGGAAAAAAGUGUGAAUGUUGCAAUUAGCAUUGAGAAGCCUCGCAGCUUCAAGGCCUGGCUGCUUGCUGCCUGGGGAAAUCCUUUGUUGGGAGGUGUUAACUGGCCCUGAUUGAGUCUUGUCUGGAAUUCUUUAUUUCCUAUCAUGAUUUUAGAGUUUUUUUAUUACUGGUAGUCAGACUGUGUUAGUUUUCAUGGCUUCCUUCUUUCUGUUGAAAUUGUCCACAUGCUUGUGGACUUCAAUGGCUUCUCUGUGUAGUCUGACAUGGUGGUUGUUAGAGUGGUCCAGCAUAUUUGCAUUCUCAAAUAAUAUGCUAUGUUCAGGUUGGUUCAUCAAGUCAUCAAGACUUAUCUGGUUGAGUUAAUCUGGUUGAGUUAGUUCCUUGAUUCGUGUCUAGUGGUCCUUAUGUAGACUUGUUCACAGUUGCCUGGUAUACGUAAACUCCUGCAGAGGGGAGAGGAUCCCUGUUGUCCUUUGCUCUCAGCUUUGUCAUAGCAAAUUUCUUCAUGGAGCACUUUGAAAAACACGCCGUGGAAACAGCAACAAAAAGUUCACUAUAUCAGUGGUUCUCAACCUGUGGGUCCCCAGGUGUUAUGACCUAUAACUCCCAGAAAUCCCAACCAGUUUAACAGCUGCUAGGAAUUUUUGGGAGUUGAAGACCAAAACAUCUGGGGACCCACAGGUUGAGAACCACUGCACUAUAUGGUUCAGGUUUGUGGAUGAUACCUUCGCCAUUUUGGAGCCAUGGAGGAGAAGAACUAAACAAGUUCAUGGACCACCUCAACAGCAUCCAUCCAAACAUCUGAUUCAUCAUGGAAAAAGAAAAUGAAGAAAAACUGCCAUUUCUAGAUGUCCCAGUCACCCGCAAACCUAAUCAAAAAUUGGGCCACACGGUUUACAGAAAACCUACGUACACAGAUAGAUACCUACAUAAAAACUCCAACCAUCACUGAAGUCAAUAAAGAAGCACAUUCAAAGCCUUGGCAGAUCGUGCAAAAAUAAUCUGUGAAUCUCACCUCCAAGAAGAACUGAACAAUCUAAACUGGGUUUUCCAGGCCAAUGGAGACUCCACCACAGACAUUAGAAGAGCCGCAAGACCAAGAACAAACCAUGAGAAUAGAAGCAAAGAUCCACUCAGAGGAAAAGUGUUCUUACCAUAUGUCAAGGGAACCACUGACCGCAUAGGGAAGCUGAUAAAGAAACACAUCCUACAUGGGAAUAGUUGCCUCAAUAGCCCUUUUGGGAAGGAGUGGAUUCAGAGCUCUGCUACACCAUUCGUUGCCUCAAGUGACAGAUAGGGGGUGCAUCUACACUGUGGAAUUAACACAGUUUGACACUCCUUGAGUGGCCAGGGCUCAAGGCCAUGGGAUGUUCAGAGUUGUAGUUUGGGAAAGAAGUGAGAUGGGCAGAGAAGGUGAAAGGCCUGGCAAGACUACAACCUGUAGGACCUCAUAGUAUUGAUCCUAUAGUAUUAAUUCUAUAGAAUAGAUGCAUCUUUGGAUGGCACCAAGUAGAAGCAAAGUAUUAAUUUUGUAUGGUAGGACUCAGCAUGGUGCGUUGUUGAGCAAGGACUCUGGGACUCUGUGCCUAGAAAACAUGCAUUUACUACCGAUGAGCACUGAGCUGCCAUGGAGUGGAACAGAAUAGGAGCCAAAGGGUGCAUCUACACUGUAGAAUGAAUGCAGUUUGAUGCCAGGGUUGUUGUAUGUUUUCCGGGCUGUAUGGCCAUGUUCCAGAAGUAUUCUCGCCUGACGUUUCACCCAAUCUCUGAGGAUGCCUGCCAUAGAUGUGGGCGAAACGUCAGGAGAGAAUACUUUUGGAACAUGGCCAUACAGCCCGGAAAACAUACAAAAACCCUGUGAUCCUGGCCAUGAAAGCUUUCAACAACACAGUUUGAUGCCACUUUUAUUGCUAAAGCUCAAGGCUGUGGAGUCAUGGGAGCUGUCGUUUAGCAGAGAAGGCUCAAGAGACUGUAAAACUACAAUGCCUAUGAAUAACAGAAUCAUAGAAUCAUAGAGUUGAAAGAGACCACAUCUACGCCAACCCCCUGCCAUACAGGAAAAGCACAAUCAAAAUAUUCCUGACAGAUGGCCAUCCAGACUCUGUUUAAAUGUUUCCAAGGAAGGAGUUUCCACCACACUCUGAGGCAGAGAGUUCCUCUGUUGAACAGCUCAUACGGUCAGGAAGUCUUAAUGUUCAGGUGGAAUCUCCUUUCCUGUAAUUUAAACCCAAAUCCCAUUCCAUUGCAUUGAGCCAUGGCAGCUAAAGUGGUGCCAAGUUGCAUUUAUUCCACAAUGUAGAUUCACCCACAGUUGCUAGAAUAUUCAAAACAGCGCCAGGGGAUUCUGGGAAUUGUAAUCCUCAAAGCUUUGACAGUUUUUCCAAGUUCUCCCUCCUCCCUAUGACUUCCCCUCACAUAUUUGUACAUGGCUAUCAUGCUGAGAGGAGACAUGAUAGCCAUGUACAAAUAUGUGAGGGGAAGUCAUAGGGAGGAGGGAGCAAGCUUGUUUUCUGCUGCCCUGCAGACUAGGACACGGAACAAUGGCUUCAAACUACAGGAAAGGAGAUUCCACCUGAACAUUAGGAAGAACUUCCUCACUGCGAGAAGGGCUGUUCGGCAGUGGAACUCUCUCCCCUGGACUGUGGUGGAGGCUCCUUCUUUGGAGGCUUUUAAGCAGAGGCUGGAUGGCCAUCUGUCGGGGGUGCUUUGAAUGCGAUUUCCUGCUUCUUAGCAGGGGGUUGGACUGGAUGGCCCAUGAGGUCUCUUCCAACUCUACUAUUCUAUGAUUCUAUGAUUCUGAUUUUGAUGGGUGCCAAAUCUUUCUCCCUACAGCCAACAUCUGGAAUCUGCUGCCUGAAGUGUCAUGAAGAGCAACCUAACUAGGGCUGGAUUUGCACUUCCUGAUAUCUCAGUAUCUUAUCACAGAUGAUCUACUUAUCCCAGAUUAUAUGGCAGUGAAGACUCAUAUAAUCCAGUUCAAAGCAGAUAAUCUGGGGUCAGAUCCUGGAAUAUCGGGAAGCAUAGGAUUUAUAGAUCUCAGGGUCUGAGCCUCCAGUUUUCAUAGGGCAUCUCCAGCUGGGUGCCAGGAGCAGAUCGAGAUAACAGGAAACGGUUAUGAGCAAAUCUUCAGAGCAACUGCUUGCCACAAUGUCAGGGUUUAAUUUAUUUGUUUCUGCAACCUGUACAGUUUCUCCAAGCCACCGCUUUCCUCCCAGUCAAUGCACUGCACAAAUUCAGUCUUUUCUUCUGCCAUAUAUUCGACCAUAUAUUCGACAGCUUUUUUUACUUAGGCAGGUCUUUGGUUUGUUAAUUUGCUUCAACAGAUGUCUUGUGUCUGGAUUUUAUUAUUGCUUCAUUGUGUCUGGAUUUUAUUAGAUUUUGAAUGUGCUUUUAAAAGUUAUUGUAACGUGUUUUUAAAAAUAGAAUUGCUGCUUAAUUGUCUUUUAACUUUUGCAUUAAGAGUUUUUAGUUGUACGUGGGUUUCAAUGGUUGUCGGCUGCCUUGAAUCUAGUGCAGAGAGAGAGGAGAAGGUAUAAAUGAGAUGUAUUAGUAAGUAAAUAAACAAACUCAGCCUAGUAAUAAUAUUCUGAGUUUCAUUAUAUUGCAAGGGCCUCCUUUAGAUGGACAGUGCUUCAGCUGUGAUGUAUACAACUAAUAUUCAUCUUUUCUAAGCAUCUUAACAUUAUCCUACGGGGUUGCGGUGAGUUUUCUGGGCUGUCUGGCCAUGUUCCAGAAGCAUUCUCUCCUGAUUUCACCCACAUCUAUGGCAAGCAUUCUCAGAGGUUGAGAGGUUUGUUGGAAAUUAGGCAAGUGGGAGAAAGAACUCUUGUCUGUUUGAAGCAGGUGUGAAUGUUGCAACUGGCAAGCUUGAUUAGCACUGAAUAGCCUGGCAAUUAAAACCUGUCUGUUUCCUGUCUGGGGGAAUUCUUUGUUGGGAGGUGUUAUCUGGUCCUGAUUGCUUCCUGUCUAGAAUUUCCCUGUUUUCUGAGUGUUGUUCUUUAUUUACUGUCCUGAUUCUAGAUUUUUUAAAAUGCUGCUAGCCAGAUUUUGUUCAUUUUCAUGAUUUCCUCCUUUCUGUUGAAAUUGUCCACAUGCUUGUGAAUUUCAAUGGCUUCUUUGGCAACAUUGUGCUCACUGACAAUCACCAUGUCAGACUACACAGAAAAAACUGCCAUAGAUGUGGGUGAAACAUCAGGAGAUAAUGCUUCUGGAACCAUACAGCCUGGAAAACUCACAGCAACCCAGCAAAACAAAUGUUACAGGGUGUUAACGGCUCGGGCCCUACCUAUCUCCGUGAUCACAUCUCCUCCUAUGAACCUUGAGAUCUUCCGGGGAGGCUCUUCUCGCGCUCCCACCACCGUCUCAAGUGCGGCUGGUGGGGACGAGGGAACGAGCCUUCUCGGCAGUGCCCCCCCCCCCCCCCCCCCGGCUCUGGAAUGCAUUGCCAAAAGAGAUCAGGCAAUCCCCUACAUUAUCCAAUUUCCAUAAGGAACUGAAGACCUGGUGGUGUCGGCAGGUUUUUGAGUAAUUACAUUGGACUACCGCUGAUUUCUGGGCCUGAAUAUAUUGCACAAGAUUUCCCUAGCCUAAAAUGAUACAUUUUAAUAUAUUGGUUUUAUGGUUCACGUCCCGUUGAUCUGGUCAUUUCACGGAACGGAAAAGAGAUCUCAUGGGAAUGUGCCGUUCUGGCGUGACACCCCUCUCACAAGAAGACCACUAUUGGAACGGAGUGGGCAGCCAAAGGUGAAACUGCCUUGAAGUGCUGGGGGAAUCGUGGAAGAAAUCGCCCUGUUGAUGCAAGGGCUGGAUCUGUGUGGGAGUUUUCAUUAACUCCAGAAAUGGAUGGCUGCUUCGGGUGGUGGAAACGCACACUUGAUAGCUUUUGCGCUGGCAGUUCCCCCAUGCCCCAUCAUGUCAUGUUCAGUAUCGGAGCUGUUGGCACUCCACACACGUCUCCAAACGCAGCCGAUAUUUCACUGGCCUUGGGGCAGGGAAAUUAAACAGGGGAGGGCUUGCUUGUUGUUGUUCCUCCUGGUAUGACAUCCAGUGCUUUUAAUAAAGUGAGAGUGACCCUA